AUGGGGGAGGUGGUGGCGCUUGGUGGCUACUGGCGGCCGAGGUAGAGGCAGUGGCGCUGGAGUUGGUUGCGGGCAGCGGCAGAUUUGGGGCUUCAGCAAUUUCUUCCAGGGAGGCGGUCCAUUGCAGCUACUGUCGCAACCCAACAUCUUGAUUCACAUCCAUAGAUUGGAAUAUUGGUAUACCAGCCAUCCUCAGAACUCACUAAGGACAGAUGAGGAAACUGAGGCUUGGUGAAGUUACGAAACUUGUCCAAAGUCACACAGCUUACUGUAAAGGGCACAGCCAAGAUUCAGAGCCAG